rnacentral:rRNA from 1 species
UACGAAGGGGGGCUAGCGUUGCUCGGAAUCACUGGGCGUAAAGCGCACGUAGGCGGCUUUUUAAGUCAGGGGUGAAAUCCUGGAGCUCAACUCCAGAACUGCCUUUGAUACUGAGAAGCUUGAGUCCGGGAGAGGUGAGUGGAACUGCGAGUGUAGAGGUGAAAUUCGUAGAUAUUCGCAAGAACACCAGUGGCGAAGGCGGCUCACUGGACCGGUACUGACGCUGAAGCGCGAAAGCGUGGGGAGCAAACGGG